UUGAGUGUAGAGGUGAAAUUCGUAGAUAUUGGGAAGAACACCGGUGGCGAAGGCGGCGACCUGGUCCUUGACUGACGCUGAGGCGCGAAAGCGUGGGGAGCAAACAGGAUUAGAUACCCUGGUAGUCCACGCUGUAAACGAUGUGCUAUAGAUGUUGGGGAGCCUAGUCUUUCAGUGUCGUAGCUAACGCGGUAAGCGCUCCGCCUGGGAUUAACGUCAGGCC
rnacentral:rRNA from 1 species